ACGCUCAUCGUUUAAUGGAUAGGACAGAGGUCUUCUAAACCUUAGGUAUAGGUUCAAAUCCUAUUGAGCGUA
rnacentral:tRNA from 2 species